rnacentral:piRNA from 1 species
UGUAAUGCUAAUGCGCUGCCUCAAUACAAA